ensembl:misc_RNA Metazoa_SRP Metazoan signal recognition particle RNA
GCUGGGCAUGGUAGGUGCGCCUGUAGUCCCAGCUACUCAGGAGGCUGAGGCGGGAGGAUCACUUGAGCCUGGGAGGCCAAGGCUGCAGUGAGCCAAGAUCGCAUCACUGCACUCCAGCCUGGGCCUGGGCAACAGAGUGAGACCCUGCCUAUU